rnacentral:rRNA from 1 species
AACGAACGCUGGCGGCGCGCCUAAUACAUGCAAGUCGAGCGAGAAGACGUAGCAAUACGUUUGUAAAGCGGCGAACGGGUGAGGCAUACAUGGGUAACCUACCCUCGAGUGGGGAAUAACUAGCCGAAAGGUUAGCUAAUACCGCGUACGCUCCCGGGACUUCGGUUCGGGGUGGAAAGCGAUACCGUGGGUAUCGUGCUCUGGGACGGGCCCAUGUCCUAUCCGCUUGUUGGUGAGGUAACGGCUCACCAAGGCUUCGACGGGUAGCUGGUCUGAGAGGACGAUCAGCCACACUGGCACUGCGACACGGGCCAGACUCCUACGGGAGGCAGCAGUAAGGAAUAUUGCGCAAUGGGCGAAAGCCUGACGCAGCGACGCCGCGUGGGGGGUGAAGGUCUUCGGAUUGUAAACCCCUUUCGGGAGGGAAGAUGGAGCGAGCAAUCGUUCGGACGGUACCUCCAGAAGCAGCCACGGCUAACUUCGUGCCAGCCGCCGCAGUAACAC